rnacentral:piRNA from 1 species
UUAUUGUAGAAAGGCAGAGG